CCUGUAUGAUGAGAUGCAAUAGACUGACUAAAUCGUGAAGGUCUGUAAUUAGCUCUACCUGAC
rnacentral:snoRNA from 1 species